AAGUCGUAACAAGGUUUCCGUAGGUGAACCUGCGGAAGGAUCAUUAUCGUUGGGCUUCGGCCCAUUCGAGAUAACACCCUUGCCUUUUUGAGUACCUUUUCGUUUCCUCGGCAGGCUCGCCCGCCAACGGGGACCCUUCAAAACGCUUUGUAAUACCUGUAAUUGUCUGAUAUAACAAGCAAAAAUCAAAACUUUCAACAACGGAUCUCUUGGUUCUG
rnacentral:misc_RNA from 1 species